AUUGAACGCUGGCGGCAGGCCUAACACAUGCAAGUCGAGCGGAGCGGCGGACGGGUGAGUAAUUCCUAGGAAUCUGCCUGGUAUUGGGGGAUAACGUCCGGAAACGGGCCCUAAUACCGCAUACUAUCAGAUUAGCCUAGGUCGGAUUAGCUAUUUGGGGGGGUAAAGGCCUACCAAGGCGACGACCCGUAACUGGUCUGAGAGGAUGAUCAGUCACACUGGAACUGAGAAACGGUCCAGACUCCUAGGGGAGGAAGAAGUGGGGAAUAUUGGACAAUGGGCGAAAGCCUGAUCCAGACAUGCGGGGUGUGUGAAGAAGGUUUUCGGAUUGUAAAGCACUUUAAGUUGGGAGGCGUUACCAAAAGAAUAAGCACCGGCUAACUUCGUGCCAGCAGCCGCGGUAAUAC
rnacentral:rRNA from 1 species